GCCUGGCUGGCUCAGUUGGUAGAGCAUGUGACUUUCAAUCUCAGGGUUGUGAGUUCAAGCCCCACAUUGGAUA